CUAUACCCGGCCGUCGGG
rnacentral:snRNA from 1 species